rnacentral:lncRNA from 1 species
GCAGUGGAAGUAUAUGCUUGAUAGAAUUUUUGAAUUUUGUUUGAAUAUUGUGAUGAUAUAAUGCUUGUCUUUCUCUUGAUCAUUGCGGCCAUGGCUUAAGCAUUAUCUAAAGUGAUUUUAUCUUUUGAUGGGUCUGCCGAUCAUAGUUAGAAUUUGCAUAAUAAUCUGCCCUCUUAUUUAGUUUCUAUGUUGAUCUCUUCUAGGCUUUUUUUUCUCUUGAAGCUAAGUUAGAAUAAGCGAUAGAGUUUCUGUUAAUUUUCAUUUUAGUUUGGGUCAUUAGUUUGAUAACUUUAUAAAGGGCAUAGUGCAUGAG